UUUGGAUUUUUGCCGGACUUUAUAUAUGGAGCCUGUCUGCUCUAAUAAUUAAGUUCAUAGUAAAAAGCUUCUCUUAAAUCUUUCCAAAUGAUUCCGCAUAAUGCAAGAGCAGAAGCAGAGUGGCCCCUUGUGGAGAACAGCUAAUUUUGUAUUAGAAAGAUCCUCUACCAAAUCGAAGAAGCUUGGCAACCCAGAAAAGCAAGAAGAACAACAAAAAAGGGAGUCUUAAAGUCCAAGUGACACUAUGAUGGAAGCAGCUCCAAUCUUCAAGACUGAGCAACUCCUCGAACCAGAAGGUAGUAGCGGAAUGAAGAAAUGGUUGGUGAAAAUAGCGCACGGUAAGUGUUUGAUGAAUUGUUUGGUGAAGGAUGGAAGUGUGCGUGAAACUUCUCUAGCUUAGGAGGCCUUCCAAGAGGGAAGGAAGCUAGAGGAGGAUUGUGCUAAAGUGGCACGGGUUUUUGAACUCGAAAGUAAGAAGUGGCUGGACAAUUCAACAACUUUUCUUUAUACCAUUCAAGUUGAAUUUACAAAGAGGAGAGUCUCUCUUUUAUAGAGGAAGAGAUGACUCUGAAGUGUGCCUAACAAGCUACGAAAAUGACAAUAGAAAUGUGCUGGAAAAGCUACCAAGCUUGGGUUGCACGUUCCAUACAAAAAACAUUAAAAACGUGCUUAAAAAGAUGAAGGUUGGUUCGCUUUGGCUGGACGCAGUGUGCAGACGGCUGGGCGUGAUGCAGAAUCCGAAAGUUAUUUUCCCUUUGAAACUCAAUCCGGAAGUCAUCAUGUUCAAUCCGGAAAUGACUUAAAAUGCACUCUUCUUUGCCUCCUUUGCUCUCUUUAGCUUGGCAAGCUUCCUAGGAUGCAUAGGCAUGGUUUCCAACCUUUAGUUAAGGCCUACAAAACAAUGCAAAUAUUAUUUAGCAAAGUAAAUCCAUCUAAGACUUAGAUAAGGAAAGAACUUUAGAAAUCCUUAUUCUACUUUCCUUUCUUUAGUCUUAGUUUAAGUUGUUUCUUCUUUGGAUGGAAAGUCCUAAAGGAGUUGCCAUCACACUAGUUACCACUUCCAUGUCGUUGGGUGACCCUUUUUCCAGAGAGCCCACCAUUAAACACCCAAACCCUACCACUAAGCGAGCAUAUUCUAGAGAGCAGCUCUGGUGUUUACGAAGACAUACGCUAAGCGACAAGCCUCAUGCGUUGAGUGACAUAUGAGCUGAUGUGGCAAGUGAAGCCAUAUACCUUCUUGUAACUCGAAGGAAAUCGAGUCUUUGAAUGGUUGGAGGCACAAAAAUGCUCUUUGGAAAGUUGGAGGGCUAUUAGGGCUUGUGGGAAAACUCCCUUUUUACUCUUAGUUUCUCCAUGUUCUUUCAUGUUCAUUUUGUAAGCUCGAGGCUCUCCAUGAAAAUGGUGAGCGAAAACCA